GUCAAAAUAGUGAUCAACUUGCAGUUACAUCGACUAUUAUAUCGGAUACAUGCUACUUCCACGAGCAUAUAACUCCGCUCACCACAGAACACAGCAAUGUAAUACUUACGCAUAUACUCUUAAAAGCACAUAUUACUAUUCACAAGCAGAUCUUAAGAAUACAAGAAGGAAUCAAAGAUAUGGAAUUUUUACUGAAAAGAAUGCAAAUUAAGCAAAGCCAGAUAAGGUUCCGAUAUGAAUACACACAGAUUGAUCACCACUCUCCAGUCAAUCCUUCGACAAACCAAAUACGAGGACAAAAGUAGCAAGAACAGCAGCAAUGGUGGACACGAUGUAUCCUGGUUUCUCUCGAGGAUCAAUUUGUGCACAAAGAAGGACAAAUGCAGCUAGGUACCAAGGGAUGCCAGCAAGAAGGAAACCAAUAAUGAACAAGAACCAUCCGAGACCAAUGCCACAGCAAGGAAGGCGAUGAUGUCUCUCGGGUCUUCCUUCAGGAUCAGGAGCAGUAUAACCUGGAACAGCCUGAUAACCAUGAGCAUAGUAUUCAGGCGUAGGUGCUCCCAUAGCGCCAGGAGGCGGAACUGGCUGAGGAAAUCCCAUCACCGGUUGAGAAGAUGCUUGAAAAGUUCCAUACUCCGGUGGCGGCACCGGUACCGCCACCGCCUCCGGUUGGUGUUCUCCGUGGUGGUGAUGG
rnacentral:misc_RNA from 1 species